UCAAAUCUUUUCUCGCAUGUUUCUCAUAGACCAGUUUGUAUCUAUUUCAUAUUAAAUAAGUAUGGAACUGCAAACAUUAUUUGAGCAGGAAAGCUGGAUUUCACAAAGCAUUCAGUAGUUUAUCACAACAGCGUAGGAAAGCAGUGUUCCCUCAUUUUUACCUGGUAUGAAGAAAAUUAGGGAAAACUGUAAAAUCUUGACAACGCUGUUUUCAAAGUCAUGUAGCACUUUUAAAGGGAUGUGCUGUAGACACAGAGGCGUAGGGACGUUGGACACUGUUCAACUGAAAUUGCUGAAAUCCCUGUAUGAUCCAGUCCUUACUGCCUUAUUCAGGACAUCUUGUGCCAGCUAUAGAGCAGCACUUAUCAUUGCAAUGCCCCAAGUCAGAUCUGCUGGUGAUCAUUUGUAUACAAAUCACAGGCCAUGCUGUAAUGCUGCCUUCGCCAAGACAAUGGAGUCGUUGUGAAAGAGGAUCUGGGUGGCACUUCUGCACAUGGCCCUGCAGUGCACUGAGACACAGGCAAACACAAACAUACGCGUGCAGCCUGUGUGCCCGAGCCAAAACUCAACACAACGCAACACAAUGCAUACCUCAGAGAAUGUUGAAAGCCUCACUCUGAAUUUUCUGCUGUGCUUUCCAUCGAUUGUCUCAUGUAAAUGAUUAAUGGACAGGAUGGCAGGGAAAAGAAUGGAAGGCUUACAGCCCAUAAAGUGACCCUCUGGAUAUUGCAUCAUACAAAGUAUACUGACAGCUGGAAUCUUUCCAAUCACUCCACCACAUCAGAUAUUCUUUCUCAGCAAGUGGCUCCUUGUGCUCACAUCAGCUAAAGAUGACACCUCAUCUUUGCAGACAUCUCAACUUGCCUCAGAGACAUCACAUUCUGGAUGAAGGUUCACUCUCACUCCAGCUCAACCUAUCAUCAUAGCCUGUCAUUACAAUUGUCAUUACAGCAAGUCCUUAAAUUUUAGCCCUCCUCCACUGUCCAGCUCAGCUCAUUGUCAUUAUUACCAUCAAGGUCCACCAGGAGCCUUGGGGUAAUGAUUGAUGACCAGCUAAGCUCUCAAACUCUCAAGAUUUGCUCUGUAUGAAAACAGGAAGCUCAGGUCUCUUCCAGAUACUCGCCAUCUCACAACUCUAUACUGCUCACCAAAUCCGCUUGCAGUAAUGAUCCAAAUGUGGAAGUUAUAGGUCCUCGUCUACUGACUGGCCAGUGGAAGUUCAUCUUCUUACAAGGAAUCAUUUAUGGCAUUCAUGGCAUUGCAUACUGAUCACUAAGAUGUGUUUGGUAGCAAACAGUGAUUGGUGAUAGCACCACUGUAUGGUGCUGGUCCUCUUUUCACAUGUGCUUUCCUUACACUUUUCAAGAAUUCUUGGAAGACAAGAAGUCACUUAAGAUUGAUGCAGAAACUCAUCAAUAGUGAUAAUAAUAAUAAUAAUAAUAAUAAUAAUAAUAAUAAUAAUAUGUUUAAUUUAUAUAGUGCAUUUCUCACACCCAUGGUCACUUUACAAUUACAAAAAACAAACACAGAAAAACACAGAGUCCUCCAAAAGCUUCUGGGAUCUAAUUUCAGUGGAAUAUCUGCUCAUAAUCUCACACAGCCUGUACAGCCACAAUGCCACCGGGCAACACUGCUCAGAACGCCACACCAUGGAGCCACAAAGUGAGCACAGACACAUUGCUGCACAGAGUGUUGAGCAGUCCCAAGACCACUCAGAAUAAUCAUACUCUCCACCAUCGACAAGAGCAACAGGCACACCGUAGUCCAUAGCAAGCAGGAGGACGCACAUCACUCAUCAGUGCUUUCACUUUAAUUCAUAUACGUACAUCUCAGAUGUGCUAUGUUUGUGGUGAUUAGUAAACUGUGCUCCUAAUAAUUAUGUACUAUUAUUAUUUUGUAUUAUUAUAUAUUACUCUAAUUUAGCCUUCUUGAAGACUGCAUAAUUUGUACUUUAACUAAGUGCUCUGUUACUAGCAGUCCUGAGUAUUAGCACUAAAAUUCUAACCUACUGUAUGUGUGAUGCACAGAGGGAAACUCUGAUACGAGAUGUGUAGAGGACAACAAGGUCAGAAUGACAAACAAUUAAAGUGAUGCUCUGACUUUUUAAUAUUAUCAUUAUUUAUAUCAGUAAAAGUUUUACACCAGAUGUCCUAUGAGUUGACCCCCACUGUGUAACAGCCCAUGACACAAAGUAUGCGGGAAUUUAAGACCUAUCCUAUAAUUAUUAAUACAGGAUUACCUUAAAAGUUUACUCAUUAAUUUUACUCAAAAGUUUAUACAAUAAUUUCAUAUCUACCAUGUUCUCUGGCUCUCUGUUUUCCUACAACUAGCUAACUGUAUUUGUUUUUGGUAAACCGAUGUGUAGUCUUGAAGGAUUUCUGUCAUUGUCUGCUUCUGCUCCAUGCUUGGAUUGUAUUUUGACUCAUUUGUAAGUUACCAUGGCUAUAAUUGUCUACCAAGUAAAAAAAAAAAAAAGUAAAUGUAAAUGUAAACUCAGAUUACAUAUAAAGCUCUAAUUGUGAAUCCUGAGUCCUAUUUAACAAACAAUCAGAAAGAUAGAUACAUUUGCUUGGCAGAUGGGAGUUAUUAUCAUAAAUAUCAAGUAGUAAGGUUAAAACAAGCAUUAAACGUUUCGGUGCUUAGUAUUGCUUGAUUAAUAGGACAUGUGGCCUGGGGAUGGAAGACAUUAAAAGUGAAGUUUGCUUUUGAAAUAUCCCUGAAUAGACUCCUAAUACCUGUAAUCAGUGUAUUUUAAUCCUCAUUCUGGUGCCAACUUGAUUGACAUAGGAUUGAUAGCAUGUUAUAGAUGAGCAGAUGUGGUAGAAGCCUUGACACAGAGACUUGAAUAAAUAGCUAGAAAGAUAAGACAAUACUUACAUGCACAUACAAGCCCCAACACAUAGCUUUGGCACUUCAGACUUUUAGUUGCAAAGAAAAGGAAUAAGAUACCAUAACCCUGAAUCUACAGGCUAC